UACGUAGGGUGCGAGCGUUAAUCGGAAUUACUGGGCGUAAAGCGUGCGCAGGCGGUUCGUUGUGUCGGUGGUGAAAUCCCCGGGCUUAACCCGGGAAUGGCCAUGGAAACUGGCGAACUGGAGUGCGGCAGAGGGGGUGGAAUUCCGCGUGUAGCAGUGAAAUGCGCAGAUAUCAGGAGGAACACCGGUGGCGAAGGCGGGUCUCUGGGCAGUAACUGACGCUGAGGAGCGAAAGCGUGGGGAGCGAACAGG
rnacentral:rRNA from 1 species